UCGGGAUUAGCUCAGUUGGUCAGAGCGCAAGGCUUAUAUCCUUGUGGUCGCUGGUUCAAGUCCAGCAUCCCGAA
rnacentral:tRNA from 1 species